GUGUAUUUAUUGGCAGGCGCCCCUCUGUUUUGGACAUCCUGCCUACCUUUCAAGCUCACCAGGUACAUUCCAAGACUGGGAAGUGAGCCGGCGUUAAAAAUGUGGUCAAGAAAAGCUCAGUUGUGACUCUACAUACAUUCAGACAAAAUGGAGCGCUCACAAUUCCUUCUGUGUCAGGAUCUCAGAAUAUCUAAGAACACGAUCAUUUCCAAGAGGGAGCAAGUGUGUGUUGAGGGUUUCAUCCAACUGGCAUAGGGCAGGCACAGGACAACUAAUCAUUGGCCAUGAAACGUUUUCCAAAGGAGCAGAAUGGCCCAUCGCCCUCAAGAUGUUUGCUUGGGCUGCGCCCUACUGGCUUCCCCUGAGCAGAGCGGCACUGGAGAGGGAAUCGGGCUGUCAGGUGGGUUCCUCCUCAGAGGGGAACCACUAGCUGGCCUGCUUCCAGGGAGCUCCGUGGGCUUCCGGGCUCUGUUCACCAAACUGCAAUAAUGCCGAGA